rnacentral:rRNA from 1 species
AGCAUAUCAAUAAGCGGAGGAAAAGAAACCAACAGGGAUUGCCUCAGUAACGGCGAGUGAAGCGGCAACAGCUCAAAUUUGAAAUCUGGCGCAAGCCCGAGUUGUAAUUUGCAGAGGAUGCUUCUGGGCAGCGGCCGCUCUAAGUCCCUUGGAACAGGGCGUCAUAGAGGGUGAGAAUCCCGUAUGUGACCGGCGCGCACCCUCCACGUAGCUCCUUCGACGAGUCGAGUUGUUUGGGAAUGCAGCUCUAAACGGGAGGUAAAUUUCUUCUAAAGCUAAAUACCGGCCAGAGACCGAUAGCGCACAAGUAGAGUGAUCGAAAGAUGAAAAGCACUUUGGAAAGAGAGUUAAAAAGCACGUGAAAUUGUUGAAAGGGAAGCGCUUGCAACCAGACUCCGCGGCGGUGUUCCGCCGGUCUUCUGACCGGUCUACUCGCCGCCGCGGGGCCAACAUCGUCUGGGGCCGCCGGAUAAGACCACGGGAAUGUGGCUCCCUCGGGAGUGUUAUAGCCCACGGUGAUGCGGCGAGCCUCGGGCGAGGUCCGCGCUUCGGCAAGGAUGUUGGCGUAAUGGUUGCCAGCGGCCCGUCUUGAAACACGGACCAAGGAGUCUAACAUCUAUGCGAGUGUUCGGGUGUCAAACCCCUACGCGUAAUGAAAGUGAACGGAGGUGGGAGCUUCGGCGCACCAUCGACCGAUCCUGAUGUCCUCGGAUGGAUUUGAGUAAGAGCAUAGCUGUUGGGACCCGAAAGAUGGUGAACUAUGCCUGAAUAGGGUGAAGCCAGAGGAAACUCUGGUGGAGGCUCGCAGCGGUUCUGACGUGCAAAUCGAUCGUCAAAUUUGGGUAUAGGGGCGAAAGACUAAUCGAACCAUCUAGUAGCUGGUCCUGCG